GGGUAUAUGAAAGAAACUUGCCUAAAUGGACUUUUGGAGAGAAAUGCUAAGAUGGAAGCGCUGCAGACAGUCUCAAAAUUGGAAGAAUCGAAGACGGCUCAAAGGAUCGGACGUAGAAAAGGGGCCGUACUGGCCACAGAUGUUAGUAGAGCAAAAGGUACGUUGUAGAUCUAAGGGCAAUAAGGUAACUGGUGUGGGAAAUCUGGAGAAUACUUUCGUUGGAUCAAG
rnacentral:lncRNA from 1 species